UACGGAGGUCUCAAGCGUUGUUCGGAUUCAUUGGGCGUAAAGGGUGCGUAGGCGGCGCGGUAAGUCGGGUGUGAAAUUUCGAGGCUUAACUUCGAAACUGCAUUCGAUACUGCCGUGCUUGAGGACUGGAGAGGAGACUGGAAUUUAAGGUGUAGCGGUGAAAUGCGUAGAUAUCGUAAGGAAGACCAGUGGCGAAGGCGGGUCUCUGGACAGUUCCUGACGCUGAGGCACGAAGGCCAGGGGAGCAAACGGG
rnacentral:rRNA from 1 species